UGUCACAUUGCCAGCUGUUUCCCUCAGC
rnacentral:piRNA from 1 species